UAAAAGGCAAUGUCGCAGUCUAGAUAUAGAACGUAAGUUGGCAUUUGAAAGGCAGUGUCGUAGUUCAGUUAUGAGGCAUAGACGAAGUGUCGCACCUAUCCCAAAUCCUCAUUCACUAGCAGACUAAAUGAAAUUAUUGCUUGAAAAAAUAAAGAAUAAUGGCAUAAAAAUCCAAAAUUUUAUUUCUUGGCACAAUAAAUUAGGAUUUAAAAAUAUUUGGCUAUUCUUUCUAAAUUUGAAUUGAAAGUGGGGGAGUAUCUGUCGGUAGCAGGCCAUAUUGUAUUUUUAUAUUACUUAAUGCUGGACUCUACGCUACACCUUGGAUAACCGAGGUAUUAAUCGUUGGUUAAUUAAGAUAAAAUUCUUAAAUGGUGUAGAAAAACCUAAAAUGCUCUCAUCGAUGCCGUCGCUCGCUGCCGAAUUUAUUUUUCCCACUUCGUCCUUCGCACAAAAAGUUGGCCUUCUUGCUUCACCACCAUUUUGGCCUCAGAAAAGGAGAUAUUGCCUUCGUGCUUUCUCCUAGCUCUAUUCACCUUUCGGUCCUUUAUUUCUAUAUCUUCUCUCUCGGUGUUGUUACCUCUCAUAAAAAAUCAAUUAUCUUUAAACUUGAUUCUCCACCAAAUUCAGCUGUCGAAACCUGUACUUGUAUUCGUCACGUCGAAUGCUGCUCAUACAAUUCCUAAUCUCAAAACAAUCGUACUCGACUCUCCCGAGUUUGAAUCGCUGAUGAUGAGUCUAGCUCACUGUGGAGAAAUGGAAGGAGUGAAGGUUUACCAAUUGGACCCUGGGACAAUUCUCUAUCCUCACGGACUACUAGUCGAGUUAAUGGAGUGGUUUUGGCUCAUCAAAAUUUCAGAUGCAUGGUGGCCCAAAGUCAUGCGGUUUACACGAGCUGGAUGGCAGGUCACCGACUUCGUCCUUCGCACAAAAAAUUGGCCUUCUCGCUUCACCACCAUUUUGGCCUCAGAAAAGGAGAUAUUGCCUUCGUGCUUUCUCCUAACUCAAUUCACCUUUCGAUCCUUUAUUUUUAUAUCUUCUCUCUCGGUGUUGUUACCUCUUUUAAACCUGUAAUUGUGUUCGUCACGUUGAAUGCUGCUCUUACAAUUCCUAAUCUCAAAACUAUCUUACUCGACUCUUCCGAGUUUACUGUGGCUAGCUAUUUCUGUUACUUGAAUGCAUAUCCAUGUGGGAAUAAUUUCUUUAGAAGUUCCACACUGUUGAUUUUUUAGAAUCCCAACCAUGUGGUUUACAUCUGUUAUGCUCAAGCUGCUUGUAGUUAGGCGUUGAUACCGGCUAUUAACAAAUUACUAUUGGUGCACAUGGUGCUCUUUGUUGCAAUUUUCCUUUUUUUUGAGUUGGAAUAGUAAGAAUCACUCAUUUAAUAGCAUUAUGUCCACCUUGACUUCAUUGAAGUGUCAAAUGCAUCAUGCAAUUGACUAUUCUUAUAGAAAAGUUAAGCCCUGUCGGUGCUCACUCACACAUCAUAGUUUACUACUAAGCAAUUAUAAUGCCAUAAUGCAACUGAGCAAUUGAGGAUCCUAACUAAUGAAAACUAAGUGUGGUUGUUCUCCUAUAAAAUGCUCUGGUUUACUAGAGAUGUUAAAGCUACUGGCAAUAAAUAUUGCCUAGAGGAGAAUCUGGAAAAUUGGCUCUUCUCUUCAUAAUCAGUGUCUCACUAAAAGGACAUUACUGUACGAUGCAUGGAAAUGCAUGCUACAUCUAGAAUUCCUAACCUGUUGGACCUUGAUGGCCUAAAACUUAGUUUCUUUAGGCUGGGUGUUGUCCCUUAACUUAGUUUUUGCACUCUUGAGCAAUACCUGCCUGGCAGUUAUUCCUUUGUUGCUGAUGCUAGCUGUUUGUGUUCCGCCUACUGAAGUUGGUCCUUCAGGGUUUUAUAGAUCCCGGUGCAAGUGCUGAUCUUGCUGUGGUUUUAAUGCAAGAAGGACUUGCACACAUCUUACUUGUCGGUAAAAGGUAAGCGUGACAGCUACUCGAUCAAGGAUAGAGACUUCAAUUCCUCGAAAGCAUGGCCCUGCCAUUGCUGGUUAUGAGUCGGCAUUGAAUAAGUUCUUUGAGCAUGUUUUACAGAUCCCGGUGCAAGUGCUGAUCUUGCUGUGGUUUUAAUGCAAGAAGGACUUGCACACAUCUUACUUGUCGGUAAAAGCUACUCGAUCAAGGAUAGAGACUUCAAUUCCUCGAAAGCAUGGCCCUGCCAUUGCUGGUUAUGAGUCGGCAUUGAAUAAGUUCUUUGAGCAUGUUUUACAGGCUUUCCUAAAGCAUAUUGAUUUCAGUGUCAUUCGUUGUGCGGUGAUUGCAAGCCCUGGUUUCACUAAGCAAUAUAUACAAUAGUCGAGUGUUUUAUUCUUCAGGAUCAGUUUCAUCGUCACUUAUUGUUGGAGGCAGAGAGGGGACAGCUGAGACCCAUUAUUGAGAACAAGUCACGCAUAGUGCAAGCUCAGGAUACAAGUGUGACCAGGAUUCUUAUAAAUCAAAGCAAUUAGGGACGGUAUUGGAACCAGAGGAUGAUUCUGAUGUUCUAAUUGAAGGUCUUCCUGUUUACUUUAUUGAGCCUCAACACCCUGACAAGUUCUUUUGGAGAGGGCAGUUUUACGGAGAACAUGAUGAUUUCUAUCGUUUUUCAUUUUUCAGCCGUGCUGCACUUGAAUUGCUUCUUCAAGCUGGCAAAAAAACCAGACAUAAUUCAUUGCCAUGACUAAUUUAAAAUUUGCUUCUGCCUUAAUUUUCUUACAGUGCAUGAUCAUACAUUUUACAACUACGGAAAACUAUAUGAAUGGGUCAUUUGAUUCUCUGUUUGGAGUUUUCUUGAAUAUUUGUUAUUUUCUUUGUGAAUGUGCAUCCAAUCCUAGAAGUCUUUCAUAUUUUAUUGAAUACGUGGGCUGCAUAACAAGAAUGGUGCCACAGAAAGGUGUACACCGUAUUAGACAUGCAAUAUACCGUACCCUAGAGUUGGGAGGACAAUUUCUACUACUUGGCUCAAGCCCAGUUGCACAUGUAUUUCUCUUUAUGCUACUGAAAAUAUGCAAUGCUCUGUACCUCUGUUUUGCGAUUUUGUCAGAUUUGUAUUUAACAUGCUAUUAUUGACUGUUAUUCUGAUGGAUAAAAAUGUUUCCCCGAGCAGGGAUCGAAUGGUGCUUUAGAACAUGCAUUUAACCAUUACAGGAACGAUCCUGAGAACUGUAGCGACGAUUUGAUUUCAACUACCUUUAAUUGUUUCAUUUUCAUGGAAUUUUCUGUGGGAAAUUUAUCCUUUCAGAGUAGAAGAUGACAGUUCUUUUACAAGACAGUUGCAGAGAAGAUGCACUUUUAGCAUGCAAAAAUUACAUUAUGCUUUGAAUUAAAUCACAACAAUUUACAUAUCAUCACAGCGCAAUAUAAUCUGAAGUUCAAACAUAAAAACUCUCCUUUUUUUCUCAUGUGGGUCAUGGUACAAAUUUCUGCAAGUGUGAGUAGACUAGGGAUACCCAACUAUAACUGGUGGUCUGAGGCUUGGUCUCUUAUGUGGGUCGUGGUACAAAUUUCUCCAAUGUCCUACCUGCAGCUACAAGGCUUUCGUCCUUUUCCAAGCCAUUGGAAAGUUUCUACUGAAGGCAGGGCCAUGCAGAAUGUAGGAUUGACAGGCUUGACGUUUUGGUCGCCAAAUGUUAACAUUUUUCGUGAUCCCAGAUGGGGAAGAGGCCAAGAGGCCCCUGGUUAGAAGUCCAUUUAUUAUUUUUCUUUUGUGUGCUUUUGAAUUGUGAUAAUUCAGGUAACAAAGCAAGACAUGGAAGAUACAUUUCAACCUCCAUUUAGAAGUUGUGUUCUUGAUGGUAAUGUUGCCAGUGUAAUGUGUUCCUACAAUCAGGUCAAUGGUAAGCCAACAUGUGCUGAUCCAAAUCUUCUUUCUGGGGUCAUUCGAGGCGAAUGGAAAUUGAAUGGAUACAUAGUUUCUGACUGUGAUUCAGUAUAUGAGUUCUUCAAUGGACAACACUAUACCAAAACACCAGAAGAAGCUGCAGCUACAGCAAUAUUGGCAGGUCUGGAUCUCAAUUGCUGGUGAUUCUUAGGCCAGCACACUGAAGUCUUGGUCCCACUAUGAUGAGUCGAUUAUUGACAAGGCUGUCUCAAAUAAUUUUGCUACUAUGAUGAGACUUGGUUUUUUUUAUGGUGAUCCUACCAAGCAAAUCUAUGGAAAUCUUGGUCCAAAACAUGGUAUCCACUAUCAUUCAUGAACAUGAGAGCAGAUCCUUUGACGGGCUAUCCAGGCAGAACCUACAGAUUUCAUACUGGAGAAACUGUUUAUUCAUCCAAGAGCUCCAAGCAUAGCCCAUCUGCAGUGAAUCACUUCAAGCUCACGGUUCUUGACAAAAGUUUCUGAGUCAGCACAGAGACCAACAGUAUCCCAUCCAUAGUCACCUGGGAACUCACUAGUCAAGUAAGACGGAAGCUCACUGGAGAAUGGACAUGGCCAUUGCCCAUGAGCUUAGGGGCAAAGGAGAAGAGCUUCACCGCCUUGCUAGUGGAAGUGGUGGGUCGAAAAGAGAAGGGGUCCAAUGGGUAUUAAUAGAUAGUUGGGGAUGGAUUUCCUUAUUUCAGUGAAAUCUACUUUCAGGAUUCCAUAAGAGGGGUAUUUAAAUCUGUCACUUCAUUGGAAGUUGUAGAUUUUAUUUGUUUGUUCUUUUUAUCCUAUAUGAUAUUCUUUGGACCGCUAAAUUCUUUUAUUUAUUUAUUGUUCAUAUCGACGUUCCAUAUUUA